rnacentral:rRNA from 1 species
GACGAACGCUGGCGGCGUGCUUAACACAUGCAAGUCGAACGGAAACGCACUGAGUUUGUGCUCUUCUGGAGUGCGGAACGCGGGAGUAUCACGUGUGUAACCUGCCCUACACUUUCGGGGAAGUUCACGAAACGGGGCCUAAUAUCAGAUAGGAGACGCUGUAGGGGUGCGAGCGGUGGAACUUUGCGGCGGGUGCGGAUGGACGCGCGGCUUAACGGCUAGUUGGUGGGGGAGGGGCAUACCCACGCUUAGACGGGUAGCCGGCCUGUGAGGGUGACCGGCCACAUUGGGACUGAGAGACGGACCAGACUCCUACGGGAGGCAGCAGUGGGGAAUAUUGCACAAUGGGCGGAAGCCUGAUGCAGCAACGCCGCGUGUGGGAUGACGGCCUUCGGGUUGUAAACCGCUUUAGGCUGUGACGAAGCGGGAGUGACGGUACCGGGAGAAGAAGCACCGGCUAACUACGUG